CAUCCCCGCCGUGGAGGAAGGAAGCUUUCGGAUAGUAAGCCUCUUUUGUUAGGAAAGAAACAAAGUCCGAUCAGAAUCGGGCUGUUACUGUGACGGUACGUAAGCAUGAAAGCCAGGUUAUUUACGUCCCCAGCAGGCGCUGUAAUGAAGGAGGUGGAAAAGUUUCGUCGUAAUUUUAGUGGGUGUAGAGGGCUCGCAUGCGUUUUUUUAUGUGUGAUGAGACAGCUCCCGUCUCAACCGGAUAUGCUCAUAUAAAGUGCGAAACUAGAGUGCAGGAGAGUAGAGUAGUAUUCGACGUGGCGCGGUGAUAUGUGUAGAGAUGGAGAGGCACACCAGUGGAGGAGUCGUCUCUGUGGUAUGUAUGUCACGGUGACGAGAGAGAGCGUGGAGAGAGCACAAGAUUAGAUCCCGUUAUAGUCCGCCCUGUAAGAGAUGAGUGGGAAGUGGGGUGGGGUUCCCCCCCCAGUGUGGUGCAGAUAACGCAAAAUUCACUCCGCGGGGGGAGUGGGGUCACAAGAGAGAAACUAAAAGGAAGUGGGGGGGCCCCACACGAGGGGUAGAGCAUGUGGUUUAAUUAGAAGCAACGAAAAGCACCUUAUCAUGUCUUCACAUCGUGAGCCAAUCAUAGAGAUAUUGCGUCCCUUUGGGGGGCAGAGUCACAGGUGGCGCAGGUUUGUUUUCAUCUUGUUUCGAGAAAUUUGGGUUAAAGUCCCAAAAAGAGCGCACCCUGUCCUUUUAGUUCCCAGCAUUAAGUUGGGCACUUUAAGGUGACUGCCGGUGACAAACCGGAGGAAGGUGGGGAUGACGUCAAAUCAUCAUGCCCCUUAUGACCUGGGCUACACACGUGCUACAAUGGACGGAACAAAGGGCAGCGAACCCGCGAGGGCAAGCCAAUCCCACAAAUCUGUUUUCAGUUCGGAUCGCAGUCUGCAACUCGACUGCGUGAAGUUGGAAUCGUUAGUAAUCGCGGAUCAGCAUGCCGCGGUGAAUACGUUCCCGGGCCUUUACACACCGCCCGUCACACCACAGGAGUUUUACCCCCCAAAGUCGGGAGGUAACCUUUCAGGAGCCAGCCGCCAAAGGUGGCCCA
rnacentral:rRNA from 1 species